AAAAAUAUUCCGUCCGUGCUCAUGCACAGGACAGGGGAAAGACCAUGGAUGUAGAAAGGGAAAGGCAGUGGGAGCAAGAGGGAGAGAGA